CAGUCGCCACGGGAACACGGAGGGUGCAAGCGUUAAUCGGAAUUACUGGGCGUAAAGCGCACGCAGGCGGUCUGACAAGUCAGAUGUGAAAUCCCCGGGCUUAACCUGGGAACUGCAUUUGAAACUGUCAGGCUGGAGUCUUGUAGAGGGGGGUAGAAUUCCAGGUGUAGCGGUGAAAUGCGUAGAGAUCUGGAGGAAUACCGGUGGCGAAGGCGGCCCCCUGGACAAAGACUGACGCUCAGGUGCGAAAGCGUGGGGAGCAAACAGGAUUAGAUACCCCUGUAGUCCCUGUCUCUUAUAC
rnacentral:rRNA from 1 species